GGAUGCGAUCAUACCAGCAUUAAUGCACCGGAUCCCAUUAGAACUCCGCAGCUAAGCGUGCUUGGCUGAGAGUAGUACUAGGAUGGGUGACUCCUAUGAAGUCCUCGUGCAGCUUCCC
rnacentral:rRNA from 1 species